UGCUAGAACUUUCCUGCAACUUUCUUUCCACCGCCCGUCCGCCACGGCGCAGCCUGAUAGGAUCAGCCCAGUCCUCUCCACGGCCGCCUCCCGCCGAGUUCGCCGUCGACCGCGCAUGCCCACGUCGCAGCGCGCCGGCGCAGAUCAUCUGGAUGGUCAGGCCAGGUCAGUAGCACUCCAAGUACAAUGCGACAAUGCAUAGCUUCUCCCUAACACAUAAUCCCUCAAAGUCAAAAUGCUUGGAAAUCAGAACAGCUUGAUCUCAUUUCUCCUGCAUAUUUGCCCAUCUACGACAGUCGCCGGCCAUCUUCUCUUCAGUUUGACAGGCUAGUUAAAAUGAAGUUGGAUUUGGCGGCAAGGAUCAAGCAGCCUCUUGACUUACACAUCAUUGACUACUUGGUGAACAGUGUUGCACAAGCUAUGAUUUGCAAAAAAAAUUGAGGCCGCCUACUUAUUCCUCUGCUGUACACCAGAUACGGUGUAAACGGUUUUUUGGUCAUGUUUGUCAUCUACCUUGCUGUUCUGUCUCCUCUAUUAUGUGCUGCUCCUGCAAGAUAAGGGGGUGUUUAGUUCCACGGAUUAAACUCUAGUCCCUAUCACAUCGAUGUGAAUGUUUGGUUACUAAUUAGGAGUAUUAAAUAUAGACUAAUUAUAAAACUAAUUGCGGAAGCUAAUUCGUGAGAUGAAUCUAUUAAAUCUAAUUAAUCUAUCAUUAAAACUAACAUAUAUUUAUUGUAGCACCACAUUAUCAAAUUAUGAACUAAUUAUAUUUAAUAGAUUCGUCUCGCAAAUUAGCCUCCAUCUAUGCAAUUAAUUUUUUUAAUUAAACUAUAUUUAAUACUCAUAAUUAGUAACCAAAUAUUCAAUGUGAUAGGAAUUAAAGUUUAGUCCCUCCCCCAAUUCAGUUGGCCAUCAUGGACAUGAUCUUAACUCUUGUUUUGAAUUCUGAACGGCUGGUUGCUCUCUCCAA